UAGGGAAUCUUCGGCAAUGGACGAAAGUCUGACCGAGCAACGCCGCGUGAGUGAAGAAGGUUUUCGGAUCGUAAAACUCUGUUGGUAGAGAAGAACGUUGGUGAGAGUGGAAANCUCAUCAAGUGACGGUAACUACCCAGAAAGGGACGGCUAACUACGUGCCAC
rnacentral:rRNA from 1 species